rnacentral:rRNA from 1 species
CUAGCCGACUUGCUUGUGUCCGCGNCUCUUAUGAGCGUGAGUNCCGAUGCGUGUCGNCUAUCCUAUCAGUUUCUCGGGCUUCGGUCCGUUNGACUGGNUCUUUUACUUUGAAAAAAUUAGAGUGUUNAAAGCAGGCUUGCGCAAUGAAUACAUUAGCAUGGAAUAAUAACAUAGGACUUCGGCCUCUAUNUUGUUGGUUUCUAGAACUGAAGNAAUGAUUGAUAGGGAUAGUUGGGGGUGCUAGUAUUCAGCGGCCAGAGGUGAAANUCUCGGAUUCGCUGAAGACUAACUUAUGCGAAAGCAUUCACCAAGGAUGUCUUCUUUAAUCAAGAACGAAAGNUGGGGGAUCGAAGACGAUCAGAUACCCGUCGUAGUCUCAACCAUAAACUAUACCGACUAAGGAUGAGUGACCGUUGCUUUUUCGACUUCAUUCGCACUUUAUGAGA